UACGUAGGGGGCGAGCGUUGUCCGGAAUCAUUGGGCGUAAAGCGCGCGUAGGUGGCCCCGUAAGUCCGCUGUGAAAGUCAAAGGCUCAACCUUUGAAAGCCGGUGGAUACUGUGGGACUAGAGUACGGAAGAGGCGAGUGGAAUUCCUGGUGUAGCGGUGGAAUGCGCAGAUAUCAGGAGGAACACCAAUAGCGAAGGCAGCUCGCUGGGACGUUACUGACACUGAGGCGCGAAAGCGUGGGGAGCGAACAGG
rnacentral:rRNA from 1 species